rnacentral:lncRNA from 10 species
AGAAGAGACAGCACUUCUUUAGGUCCUGUACGGAAACCAUCCAGAUGCUUCCAUGUGUUGCAGAGGGGAUGUUAGCUGAGAUCUAGAAAAUACCUCUGUUCUGGGUGUUUUCAUAAUCCAGCACCCCACUGGGGGCUCAAGUCACAUAUUUCUGCCCAAUAGUACAGAUGAGAAGACCAAGGCCUAGAGGAAAGGAGAAAACUGCCAACGGCUAACAGCAACUGCUGAAAACCCGUCCUUGGCUGCCAGCAGGACCUGAAGCUGAGGUCACUUCUCUCUCUGGAAAGACUCUGAGGAUGGAAAAGUACAGCCAGCCCCCAGACUGGGAAUCCUGGAAGACAUAACUCAUCCCAGUGCCCCCCUUCCCUUGGAGUCCUUGGAGUCCCUUUCCCUAAGGAAGUCCACUUGACAGCCAGUUCACGGAGCCAGUGGCGGCGAAGAAAGAGAUCAACUGAUUGUUCGUGCAAAGUCCCUUUUGGAAAACAGAACCCCUGACCGAGAUCUGGAGGACAGACUCCGGUUGCUGGCCAGGUCCCUGUGGCAGCUGUGAUGGGAUCAGAUUCCCAGGAAAGGAGGAGGCUGCCACAUUUGCAAAGGGAGCAAAGAGGACAGGCAGGCAGCCUCUGAAACCAGAGACAGACACAGAGAAAAACAGAGAGUGAGAAAAUGCUCCCCCGAAGACAUAGUGAGAUUAUUUUCUGUAAACCUGUAAGGGAAGACAAAGUUACACAGUGAGUCCACCUUCUGAAAAGCAACAGGCAGACAGGACCGAGGGCCAUGCUCUUAAGGGGAGCCGUGAUGGAGCCGGGAGGAGAGGCGCAUCCUCAGCAGAGCUUCCCUCCCUUGCACACGAGCUGACGGCGUGAACGGGGGUGUCGGGGUUGGUGCAACUAUAGAAGGGAAAGGCUGGGCGGGGGUCACACAUACCUCAGUGGCAGGCAGGCAGGCGGCAGGCAGAGCGCGCUCUCCGGGCAGUCUGAAGGACCGCGGGAAUGUGGAGGGGUUUAGAGACAGGCAACAGGAAACCACUCAGAGCUCUGGGCUGGGUCUAUCUCCCCUCCACCCCGUGGUCCCUCCUCCUCCUGUCUCCUCCUUCCCCCGGCCUCCUCCUUCUCCCAUAGCCAAAGCUGUCUCUGUCUUUCAUUUCUUUCCUCCUCUUUUUGCGGUGGGCUGUCCUGACCAAACGUCCCAACCCUGCCUGCCUCAUCUGUUCCGGGGCUGCUGCCUAAACCGACUCACAGAGUGCCAGGGCUGGACAGGCCUGGAGGGAUGACCCAGAACAGCCUCUUUCUUGUUCAGAGGGCAAGUGAGGCCUGGAGACUGCAAGGAAUUACCCAAUGGCCCCCAGGGGCAGAACCAGGCCCAAGUGUCUUGAUCUUCUAACCAGUGAGCUUUACAGGAGUCCUCCCUAAUAUUAGGCAAUGCUGAGAAGGGCCAAGCAAUUCAAGGGGGUUGUAUUUGCCACAAAGGCAAGGCCAGGACUUACCACUGUACAGACAAGACAAGCUGCUACUAGUGGUAUCAUCCUUGAUGAUUUGGAACUGGUCUUAAAAAAAAAAAUCCCACUCAAACUCCACUUGUACCACUAAUAGACACAUAAGGGAUUAGACAUCUAGCUGGUGGACCUGUGCCACCAGUAUUGAACAGAUAAGGUAAUUGAUGAUAUUGAUGAUAAUCAUAGGAGUAACAAUAGCCAAAGUUUACUGAGGAUUUAAUAAUCUUCACAGCAACCCCUUAUCUUAGGCAUUGUAAUUAUGACCAUUUUAAUAAUAAGGAAACAUAGAUGCUAAGUAACUUGCCUAUGAUCACCUGGCAAAAAGUGGUAUGAGAGGGCUGAUUCUACGUUUCAACUUGGGUCACUCCUGUUAUAUAUGAACUGCUCAGUGCAACAGGUCUUGGUUGAAUGUUUAUUUUGUGCCUAACACUCUGGGAGGUAUGAGAAUUAAUAAAUACCUGGUCCUUGUCCUCAAAAA